GGAGGUUGAUUGGCCCAGGCGUGCAGCCAGCCAUUGCCUGUCUGUUCAGGAAGCAGCUCUGAGCUGCCCUAGUGGCUGGACAGCUUCACAGGUAUCCCCGGCCCCUCCCAGUCAGACCCCACAGGAAAACUUGGCUCCCAGUAAGUUACCACUGUCCUGGAAGCACAGAACGGACUUUUCGUGUCCCGCUGUAAGGAAACAAGAUGGUCCUUAAAACCGAAGAGGAGGAUGUUCCCAGUGACCUGACAGCAGAGGAGCGUCAAGAACUGGAGAACAUCCGACGGAGAAAACAGGAGCUGCUGGCUGACAUUCAGAGGCUGAAGGAUGAGAUAGCAGAAGUAGCUAAUGAAAUUGAAAACCUGGGAUCCACAGAGGAAAGGAAAAACAUGCAGAGGAACAAACAGGUAGCCAUGGGCAGAAAAAAAUUUAAUAUGGACCCUAAAAAGGGGAUCCAGUUCUUAAUAGAGAAUGACCUCCUGAAGAACACUUGUGAAGACAUCGCCCAGUUCUUAUAUAAAGGCGAAGGGCUCAACAAGACAGCCAUCGGCGACUACCUAGGGGAGAGAGAUGAGUUUAAUAUCCAGGUUCUUCAUGCAUUUGUGGAGCUGCAUGAGUUCACUGAUCUUAAUCUCGUCCAGGCACUACGGCAGUUCCUGUGGAGCUUCCGGCUACCCGGAGAGGCCCAGAAGAUCGACCGGAUGAUGGAGGCGUUUGCCCAGCGAUAUUGUCAGUGCAAUAAUGGCGUGUUCCAGUCCACGGAUACUUGUUACGUCCUCUCCUUUGCCAUCAUCAUGUUGAACACCAGUCUGCACAACCCCAAUGUCAAAGAUAAGCCCACUGUGGAGAGGUUCAUUGCCAUGAACCGAGGCAUCAAUGAUGGGGGAGACCUGCCGGAGGAGCUCCUCCGGAAUCUCUAUGAGAGCAUAAAAAAUGAACCCUUUAAAAUCCCAGAAGACGACGGGAAUGACCUCACUCACACUUUCUUCAACCCAGACCGAGAAGGCUGGCUAUUGAAACUCGGUAAGUGGCAGGGUAAAGACUUGGAAGAGACGCUGGUUCAUUCUGACUGACAACUGCCUUUACUACUUUGAGUAUACCACGGAUAAGGAGCCCCGUGGAAUCAUCCCUUUAGAGAAUCUGAGUAUCCGGGAAGUGGAGGACUCCAAAAAACCAAACUGCUUUGAGCUUUAUAUCCCCGACAAUAAAGACCAAGUUAUCAAGGCCUGCAAGACCGAGGCUGACGGGCGGGUGGUGGAGGGGAACCACACUGUUUACCGGAUCUCAGCUCCGACGCCCGAGGAGAAGGAGGAGUGGAUUAAGUGCAUUAAGUUCCAGGUCAGCCCAGGAGAGCCAUAGCAGCUGCUGGUGCCACCGCUCAGCAGGGGUGAGUGCCCUGCCUGCAGUCAGGAGGCUUGUGCCCGAGCUCUGGAACAAAUCAUCACUUAGGAUACAGCUUCCCUGGAAAGAAAUUAAGUGUCAGGACUUUUAGACCAUAAGUUGCUUGAAAGUCGAGAAUGGCAGACAUAGGGCUGUGGUGUUGCCAGUCCACUGCAGGUGCUCCAGCCCGCGGCGCAGCCUGCGCUGCUGUCUUUGAGGCUGUAGCACAAGCAUGAGCUCGGGCCCCCUCCCUGUGCACCGGAGACCCAGCCAGGUGCAGCCAGUCUGUCCAUGGUGCCCCACCAGCAGCAUCGUGCCGGGCAGUGCCGCCUGCAGAGUCAUGGAGCCUUAGUUACUGAGCAGGUGCACGUGGGGGGCUUGGAAGGCCCCACUGCAUUACCAUGCCAGCUAUCACACACCCCGUGCCAGAGGACUGCAUGUGACACGGCUUGAUUACGUGGCACUCGCUGCUGCAAAGCAAAGUCAGAUGUCAUCAUGGAAACUCAAACACCAGUCUUUUUCUCUGAAUUGGAAUAUAGCUGUAAGAAUGUGGCAUGAUUCUGUUCCUAAAUGUGAAUUGAUUAUUAUGUUGAAACAGGUAAAAACCCCAAAAUUUUCUUGUCACGUGUUCCUGUGUCUCUUUCGAAGUGUGUCACCUUAGGUCACUGUGUGGACACAGCAAGGGUGGAGGACGCUAACUUGGCCUUUGCAGUGAUGGUUGGGUGGGACAGGUGUUCUGGGGCACGAGGGGCCCCUGAGAAGCCCCUGCCUGGGUGUGUUUCUUCUGAUUCUGUCCCUCACGUCUCUGUUUUCUCCCUUUUCUGUGCUCCAGAGCAGCCAUCAGCAGGGACCCUUUCUACGAAAUGCUCGCAGCACGGAAAAAGAAGGUCUCCUCCACAAAGCGACACUGAGCGUGCAGCCAAGGGCGUUGGUCUGUGGGGGCCUUGGAGCUCCUGCUCUUCUCCCGCACCUCCACGGAUGCCCUGCUGCCGAGCAGAGCGUCCUCUGCCAGGCCCCGCCCUGGAUUCCUAGAGACUAGCUUCAGCUUUUGCUAUUUUUUUUAAGUGGGAGAAGGGUGGGCAGUUAUCACUGGGGAAGAGAGGACCGGCCACCUGUCCAGCAUGGGCUCCAGAGCCUUCCUCUCUCACAGGGCAGAGCUCUUGUCGGCAGGGCAGCCUCCUAGCCAGUUUCUCUGCUCAGUGUUCUGGUAGCAGAGCUCAGAGCCAACUGUUUACCUCUUGGUUGUCCCCGUGAAGAAGCCUUCAAACCCUGCACCAUAAAUACAUGUGUCCAUAUAUUAUUAUAUGUUAAGAGAAAAAGGUGGAAAGGAAGAGAAGCCACAUACUAUAAAGAUCUAUUUUUUUUUUUUAAGAGAGAACGUAGUGCUGUUCAGGUGCAUUCUGCCCUGGCUGCGCUGGGGAGCUUCUCCCUGGAGAAGAGCACCUGGGGCUGCGGCCAAGGGGCAUCAGCCUGGGCCCGCGGCAGGGCCUGGCCUGCCUCUCCUGUGCUGUGGGAGCUCGCUGCCUGGUGCUUGUCUGGGCGAGAUGGACAGGUGUGGUCGAGGACGCAGAGGGCAGAGGCCCAGUGGGGCCUCAGACGGCACAGUCAGAGUCGGGGGCCUGCCCUGGCCGGGGGCGCAGUCGGCAGCAGCGUGCAGUCCGGCAGCUCCCGCGGAUGCUUUUCCAUCCCAAGUGCCUGCGGAGCGCCGAGGAGAGGAGAGAGCUGACUGGACGCUUACGUUAUUUUCCUCCUUCAGAAUCCAAGUUCUUGUUGGGCUUUAAAGUAGAAAGUCAGCAUUUUCCUUGAGCUAAAUACCUAAUAACCAAAACUGUGAGGAAGGUUAUCGGGACAGAGGUUCCGGAUAACCUGUUUCAUUUUGGGUUUUCUUCCUCUUCCCCAGACUCCAGUCCUCGUUCUAGAGGAAGGAGUAGGACUUCCCCGAUCCCCGUAGGGCUUCAGCUUUUUCUGCCUCAAAACCAGCCCUAACUGGACUACUCUGGAUGCAUUUUGUGGUGGGCCCCCUAGAGGGGAAGAUGGGCCUUUAUCUGCUCCGUGGGGUGCACUGGAGUGACGGGGGUGGCCGGGCUGCCUCUUGCAUCUCUGUCUUCCCCUGCAGGUGCUGUGUGAGCUGGCCCUGCCCCUCCUCAUUACAGUAUGAAGGGAGCCGUGACACGCAGCAUUUUCCUGCCGUUCUCUCAGGGACUCUCAGGGCAGCUCCUGCCACUCCGCCAGGGCCAGCAUGCCAGUCCAGGCAGAGCAGGUGGCUGGCUGUCUGGCCGUCUCGCCCCGCCCCUCCACAGGACCCUGGACCAGGGCGGUGCAGGGCGCAGCCCCGAGGAGGCAGGUGGAGGAGCUGCGGGUUUUCACAGGGCCGCGUCGCCACGGCUCCUCUGAUCCUUUAGGGUUGGCGAGCAUCUCUGGAAAUAGCUUUUGCAGAGGAAUGGUGGGAGGAAUAGAGGGGGACAGUCUGUCACCUCCCUCCCCGCCACUUUGUGUAGAUCCUACCUGGAGGGAAUGGCUUUAGGCACUUUUGUGCCAGAGCUUGUGAGGGUGACAGAAGAGGGUCCAGGCUGGAAACCUGAACUUUCUGGGUGGGAGAACCAGGUGGUGCCUGCCGAGGUCUGGGCGUGUUUGGGCUGGCGCUGGAGCCUGUCCAGCUGGCCCGGGCCCUGGCCUGGUUCUCAAGUGUUUCCUAGACAGAGAGGCACCUGGGUCAGUAUUAGUCUAUUUAUCAGAGGUGUAAAUAAUCUAUGUAUAGUUUUUCUCCUUUUAGAUUAUUUUGUAUUUGUUUAAAAGAAGUUUUGUCAAAACACAAAAAUAUAAAGAAAUGACUGAAAGUUGUUGACAGGGUUUUUAAGAAAUAAUUAUUCUAAUUGUUUUUGUUUGUUUGUUUUUGCCUUGUAAACUAGCGCCAAGGAACUGCAGCAAAUAAACUCCAACUCUGCCCAA